rnacentral:tmRNA from 1 species
GGGGAUGCCUGGUUUCGACAGGGCCGUAAGUGCGAGGAUUGCGGGCCGAGGGUGCCCCGGACUCUCGUUAAAACGGGGCGAAAAGAUAAACGGCAGGCCACAGCUUGCCCUCGCUGCCUAGUCUAACUAGCUAGCGACGUUCGACCGGCCCACUGACCGGCUGGGCCGGAACCGAGCGCCACAAUGCCGGGAUGCCGCGGUACUGAGUGCUGGAUACGUCCGCGAAAGAUCAUCUAGCAUGUCACGGGAAACGCGGUCGACAGCGGUUCCUGCUGGCGAGAUAAAGAGUCGACUAUGCCUGUAGGAGAUCUUCGGCUGAAAGUUCUGGACGGGGGUUCGAUUCCCCCCAUCUCCACAA